CGAGGAAUUGGGGCUUAUGGUAUUCUGUCUAGAAUUUGGUAGUGAAAUGAAUAAAGAUGAAUAGAAUGGUAGGUGAAAGAAAUGGCAAGGUUAAGGUAUCAGUGGUAAAGCUUUGUAUUUGUUGUUUUUAAGGUGCUAUGGAAUCAGUGAUAGAAGAGACUGACAGUGAUGAUGAGAACUAAUAAAAGAACAAGAGAGAGGACCCUCUCUUCUUCUGGGACUGCAGGGAAGAAAGACAAGGUUUUCCAAACAGAAAUGUCACCUGCAAGACAGGCA
rnacentral:lncRNA from 1 species